GGUCUUGCAAUUCUCGAACCCUUAAAUGAAGGUAUCGGUAGAGGCAUUGGCUAGUACCUCCUUGAAGUCCGUGGAGACCUUGUACUCCUCGAUGCAACAGAGCUUGGCCACCGUAAAGGCCACCAAGGUGGUCUCAACGAGCCUCCCUUUACUCACAGAUAGAGGGAUAUUCGCCUGGAGCCUCACCAGAUCCUUUGGAUCCCUGGGAGGAGGCAAAGGCUGGCGGACAAUAGGAGGUGCAGAUG
rnacentral:lncRNA from 1 species